UCCUGACAGAUGAUCACCUGGUGCGAG
rnacentral:piRNA from 1 species